AAGACUCCAAGGUUGUGGCUGUUUUCCUGUUUACCAGGAUGGAAUUUUAAAAAAUCUUUUAGGUCAACUUGCUUUUCUCUUACACCCAAAAGUUGAAAAAAAAUUUUUUUCAAGCAGUGCUUGUGAAUUUUAAAUUUUAAAAACUGCCCUCUUAAAGAAUUCCCGCUGUGUUUUGUGUUCGCAUAUUUGAAUUUGCCAAUGAAGGUCGAAGGCAUUCUUUGUAAUUUAUCAUAGACUUUGCAAAAGAACAAUCUUUGGUGAAUACUAAGACGUUACAGAAAUAGACCUUUCGGUCACUGGCUGGCUAAAAGGGAAAAGCCAAAGGUUUUUCCAAGAGCAAACAAAAGGAGGUGAGGCUUCUAGGCUCUGGCCACUGGAAGAAUGUGUCUCGGAGGUGUAACCGGAAGUUUGGCGGGGGGGGGGUGUGAGCGUCUGGGGGGAGUCGAUGAGCAGGCUCCUCAGUUACACAUCGGUGUCUGACCCAAGGCUUUCCCUGGGGACGGAUUCCUGUGGCAGGAGAGUGUGUAGGGGCAGCCAGCUUCGUGCGUUCUCCGUGAGAAACCGUAUGUGUCAUCCCCGCGCUGGUGUGGGUCCCUGGGCCUGGCUUUCCGUGUUGCCAGGUAACCCAGUGUGUCCGGGUGUGUCCCCUGGGUGUGUCCCCUUGACGCACUCUCUCCGGCUAAAGCCAAGGCACACAGCCUGCGCGGGGGCGUCUGGGCUGUGACCAUCCCCGCGUGCAUCGGGUCCACGACCGCCCCUGUCCUCUGGUCUCGGUGAAUAAAAGCCCAAAAGCCCCAGCGGUGCCUGGCUGGGUUCUCCCAAGCUGCUGCCUCCCGAGGUGGGGUCUGAAACUGGAAGUUUCCGUUUGGCCGUGAGGGUACAGACCCCUCGGUGCCUGAGUGGCAGGCUGCUUAAGGCCCUAGCAGGACUUUGCAAGUGGCUGCAGGUUUGGAGAGCGGCCUGACUGCUCCAGACACUUCUCCCCAUCUUCCCAGGAAUCUUUUGAAGUCGAUAUUUGGAACCAGCCCAAAGUGUCUCGGUAGGGAGCAGAGCAGGGAGCCCUCCGGGCAAAAAUGAAAUGUAGCAGGGCAGGCAUGAGUGCCUGAAACUGGCUCUAAAGGAAUUUUUCGGGGGGGGGGGAGGUACUGAAAAUAUUUUGCACAAUGAAAGCAACAACUUCGGAGUAGAGAACUUCCUAAGGCGAUUCCUUUCGAGUUCUGGUCUACGCUGCUAUUGGAGAAACCCAUCUUAACACUGCAAAGCUCCGGCCUCACCCUGUAGCCGUAGCACCGGCGGGUUUCCCAGAGCACCGCUGCUGCCCGGGCAGUGAGUGUGUAGUAAGCGCUCCUCCCGGAGGCGGGUCCUAAGAUCUGUUCGGUGGCGCAGUGGAACUGUGCGGCGGAGAGGAACGGAAGAAGGAUCAAAGGCAGGAAAAUCCACCCCUCUAAACUCGCCUUUCGGAUCCCAGGGCCCCUGUGGCCGCAUCUGGGUCGGGUUCACCGGCAGCCGAGCACAGGCCUGAGUGCAACCCUGGGGAACGUGCCUCAGGGGCAGCACCGCAGUUCCUAGGGUUCCCCCUU